rnacentral:rRNA from 1 species
GUAGGUGGCAAGCGUUGUCCGGAAUUAUUGGGCGUAAAGCGCGCGCAGGCGGUUCUUUAAGUCUGAUGUGAAAGCCCACGGGCUCAACCGUGGAGGGUCAUUGGAAACUGGAGAACUUGAGUACAGAAGAGGAAAGCGGAAUUCCACGUGUAGCGGUGAAAUGCGUAGAGAUGUGGAGGAACACCAGUGGCGAAGGCGGCUUUCUGGUCUGUAACUGACGCUGAGGCGCGAAAGCGUGGGGAGCAAACAGGAUUAGAUACCCUGGUAGUCCACGCCGUAAAACGAUGAGUGCUAAGUGUUAGGGGGUUUCCGCCCCUUAGUGCUGCAGCUAACGCAUUAAGCACUCCGCCUGGGGAGUACGGCCGCAAGGCUG